AGUGAACGCUGGCGGUAGGCCUAACACAUGCAAGUCGAACGGCAGCACAGUAAGAGCUUGCUCUUACGGGUGGCGAGUGGCGGACGGGUGAGGAAUACAUCGGAAUCUGCUUUUUCGUGGGGGAUAACGUAGGGAAACUUACGCUAAUACCGCAUACGACCUACGGGUGAAAGCAGGGGAUCUUCGGACCUUGCGCGAUUGAAUGAGCCGAUGUCGGAUUAGCUAGUUGGCGGGGUAAAGGCCCACCAAGGCGACGAUCCGUAGCUGGUCUGAGAGGAUGAUCAGCCACCCUGGAACUGAGACACGGUCCCGACUCCUACGGGAGGCAGCAGUGGGGAAUAUUGGCCAAUGGGCGCAAGCCUGAUCCAGCCAUACCGCGUGGGUGAAGAAGGCCUUCGGGUUGAAAAGCCCUUUUGUUGGGAAAGAAAAGCAGCAGGUUAAUACCCCGCUGUUCUGACGGUACCCACAGAAUAAGCACCGGCUAACUUCGUG
rnacentral:rRNA from 1 species